GUUGUAUAACAAUGACUGAAUCUCUUUAGACAGAAUUUGUGAAUCAAUCAAGACAGAACGUCAGUGAGGAUGAACCUGAACUACCUGUACAAUUACGUGAGGUGCCUAUACCAACUCCUCCUGAGGAAAGAAAACAUUAUGUACUACAAUCACGUACGAAUGAAUAAAUAGGAAAUUAAAUUUUUUGAACCCUAAAUUGGGCCAGGGAUUUAGGGCAGUGGCACCACUCCUGCCUUUCAAGUACAAGGUCCUGAGUUUGAGGGCCACUAGCAAAAACGGCAACAAAAAAAAAAAACCCUAAAAUACUUCUAUGAAAAUUGAUACCAAUGGUGUUAUGAAGGAGAAUUAAAGAUUGAUAUUCAAUUUUCAAUUGACCAAAUAUGUCCAUCUCUCAGAAGCACCCAGGUAAAGCUGAGUCCAUUCCACCUGGAAAAUAAAAGACAUAAAAUGAAAGUUGCAAACGCCACCUAGAAAAGGAAAGUUACCCAGAAAUGAAAAAACAAAUGUGUGUACCUAAAAGAAGGCAGUGGUCCUUAGCUCCAGAUGCCCACAUAGAGCCCACGCAGCUCGGAAUUGAGAGGCCCUCCGCCUACGAAGAGCUUCAUCUUGGACCAGUUGUAGCAGUGCGUGUAGACCGAAUAAGGGAUCUCUUCGAUGCCACAGAAAUCAUAUAUCCAGAGGUCAUCUGGGUGGAGCCAGCCUUUGCCACAGGUGGCAACUUCUGGAAGAGAUUCCUGGAAGGCUGGGCCUCAAGACCUCCAGUGUCCAACACUUUGUUCUUCUCUACCUCACCACAGUGGCCAACCAGCUCCAUGAAUAAAACCCAAACCCUGAAAUACGUAGUCAGGCAAGCAGCUAAAAGGAGCCUUGAGCAGGAUCGCUGAGUAGAAAGAACCACCACAUGCUUGGGCUCCUCCUGAGAGAACCACGGCUGAUAUCAGACAUUGAACUUGGCAGGGAGGAGGACCUUGAGCAUGGCGGGAGACCCCCUUCCCUGCUUGUUCCUUUCCGCAACCCCUCUAGUACUGAUAGUACAGUGGGGGGCUGGGAGUCCACUCCCCCACCUACUGGAGUUUGGCAACACUUCUGGGCCAGUCCUCCUUCCACUGUUCUGAGACAGGCGGAAAAUAAAAUAGCAAAGGCCAAAGCAAUCUCUGAGGCUCCAGGCCACAGCACAAAUGCAUUAAAUCUCCUGGCCUGAUCCUCAGUAACCUCUGCCCCUCACUAGCCUUGUGAAAGUCUUGUAAACGUAGACCGCCUCUCACGUAUACACUUGAAUCUGCUGUGUGAGCUGUGGGACAUGCAUGCUCCUGAGAGCCCCCACCUCAGGGUCACCGCACCCUGUCAAGCAUUCCCGGCAAUCUUUCCUAGACACCCCGUAGAGCUACCCGGUCUGGGGGCACCUCCCUUGAACUCCAAUGCCUGCUUUAUCUGGGCGUUCUCCACUUUCUGUCAUCCUGGCCCCACUUCUCUGUCUAUGCCACAUUUCUGUCCGCACGGUGCUGCCCCAAGCUCACCGUCCCAUGAUCUUUGAUAAACAUAGCUGCUUUUCUUUUCCUACUGGAUGUACACUUGCAAGUCUGUGCUCACUGUGCACAAGAACCUGGCAUCUGUCUGUCAGAUCCAUCCCAUGGCAGCACCCCAUGCAGAACAGUGGGAAGAAGUGAGGCAACCAAGCAUGCUCACUCAUACGAUUAGACAGCAAGUGAAGGGCGCAUUUCCCUGAACAGAAGAUCAGAUCCUACCUUAGUUGUUGCUCCAAAACAUGCAAUAGGCUUAUUUUCGGGGGAUAUCUUACUUUUUGUGUCCAAACAUCUACAUGAAUUCAUGUACAAAAAUGUACAUUUCUUCCAUCGCAGUCAUGUUAUCUUCUUCUGGAACAUUGUCCUAAUGCUCCACACGCCAAAUUCAAGCCUGAAUUUCUUGCAACUCCAUUUCCCGUAGAACCAAAGGCCCCAAUCUCUCACGUCCAGCAAUGGAGGCUUUCUGCAAUGAGCACUUCCUGUCCAUGUAGCCUGCUCCUAGUGCAUCAGUAAAUCAUGGGACACAUUGAAUUAUGAAGAUUCACACCAGACACAGCCACAUGCAUUCCUUAACAGGUGCACGCAUUAUCCGGGCCUCGUUUCUACACCAGUCGGUCAUUCAGCAGUAACUUUCAGGGUCAUCUGUUCACACAGGCAUUUACCUCUCGUCCAAAGGUGCCACUUGGGUGUUUACGGGUAUUUAAUUAUAAUGUGUGUUAUCAUUUGUUUUAAGUAUUAAUGUCAAUAGCAUUACUUACAGUUAAUUAUAUAGGAAUAUCAUUAAACUUUAAUACC
rnacentral:lncRNA from 1 species